rnacentral:rRNA from 1 species
AACGCUGGCGGCGUGCCUAACACAUGCAAGUCGAACGAGAAAGUCUCCGCAAGGGGAUGAGUAAAGUGGCGAACGGGUGAGUAACACGUAGCUAACCUACCCUCGAGUGGGGGAUAACCUGGGGAAACCCGGGCUAAUACCGCAUAACGCCCCGGGAGCACAAGCUUCUGGGAUCAAAGGCCCGCAAGGGCCGCUGGAGGAGGGGGCUGCGGCCGAUUAGCUAGUUGGUGAGGUAACGGCCCACCAAGGCUAUGAUCGGUAGCCGGCCUGAGAGGGCGCACGGUCACACUGGCACUGAAACACGGGCCAGACUCCUACGGGAGGCAGCAGUGGGGAAUUUUGCACAAUGCCCGAAAGGGUGAUGCAGCAACGCCGCGUGAGGGAUGAAGGCCUUCGGGUCGUAAACCUCUUUCGACUGGGAAAAACGCCCCGAUGAAGAAUCGGGGCUGAUGGUACCGGUGGAAGAAGCCCCGGCUAACUACGUGCCAGCAGCCGCGGUAAUACGUAGGGGGCGAGCGUUGUUCGGAAUUAUUGGGCGUAAAGGGCGUGUAGGCGGUGCGGUAAGUCGGGCGUAAAAUCUCCAGGCUUAACUUGGAGGGGCCGUCCGGAACUGCCGUGCUAGGGUGCGGGAGAGGGCAGUGGAAUUCCCGGUGUAGCGGUGAAAUGCGUAGAUAUCGGGAGGAACAUCUGUGGCGAAGGCGGCUGCCUGGACCGCAACCGACGCUGAGGCGCGAAAGCUAGGGGAGCAAACAG